rnacentral:rRNA from 1 species
GACGAACGCUGGCGGCGUGCUUAACACAUGCAAGUCGAACGGAAAGGCCCUGCUUUUGUGGGGUGCUCGAGUGGCGAGCGGGUGAGUAACACGUGAGUAACCUGCCCUUGACUUUGGGAUAACUUCAGGAAACUGGGGCUAAUACCGGAUAGGAGCUCCUGCUGCAUGGUGGGGGUUGGAAAGUUUCGGCGGUUGGGGAUGGACUCGCGGCUUAUCAGCUUGUUGGUGGGGUAGUGGCUUACCAAGGCGUUGACGGGUAGCCGGCCUGAGAGGGUGACCGGCCACAUUGGGACUGAGAUACGGCCCAGACUCCUACGGGAGGCAGCAGUGGGGAAUAUUGCACAAUGGGCGGAAGCCUGAUGCAGCAACGCCGCGUGCGGGAUGACGGCCUUCGGGUUGUAAACCGCUUUCGCCUGUGACGAAGCGUGAGUGACGGUAAUGGGUAAAGAAGCACCGGCUAACUACGUG